rnacentral:rRNA from 1 species
AUACAUGCAGUCGUACGCUUCUUUUUCCACCGGAGCUUGCUCCACCGGAAAAAGAGGAGUGGCGAACGGGUGAGUAACACGUGGGUAACCUGCCCAUCAGAAGGGGAUAACACUUGGAAACAGGUGCUAAUACCGUAUAACAAUCGAAACCGCAUGGUUUUGAUUUGAAAGGCGCUUUCGGGUGUCGCUGAUGGAUGGACCCGCGGUGCAUUAGCUAGUUGGUGAGGUAACGGCUCACCAAGGCCACGAUGCAUAGCCGACCUGAGAGGGUGAUCGGCCACAUUGGGACUGAGACACGGCCCAAACUCCUACGGGAGGCAGCAGUAGGGAAUCUUCGGCAAUGGACGAAAGUCUGACCGAGCAACGCCGCGUGAGUGAAGAAGGUUUUCGGAUCGUAAAACUCUGUUGUUAGAGAAGAACAAGGAUGAGAGUAACUGUUCAUCCCUUGACGGUAUCUAACCAGAAAGCCACGGCUAACUACGUGCCAGCAGCCGCGGUAAUACGUAGGUGGCAAGCGUUGUCCGGAUUUAUUGGGCGUAAAGCGAGCGCAGGCGGUUUCUUAAGUCUGAUGUGAAAGCCCCCGGCUCAACCGGGGAGGGUCAUUGGAAACUGGGAGACUUGAGUGCAGAAGAGGAGAGUGGAAUUCCAUGUGUAGCGGUGAAAUGCGUAGAUAUAUGGAGGAACACCAGUGGCGAAGGCGGCUCUCUGGUCUGUAACUGACGCUGAGGCUCGAAAGCGUGGGGAGCAAACAGGAUUAGAUACCCUGGUAGUCCACGCCGUAAACGAUGAGUGCUAAGUGUUGGAGGGUUUCCGCCCUUCAGUGCUGCAGCUAACGCAUUAAGCACUCCGCCUGGGGAGUACGACCGCAAGGUUGAAACUCAAAGGAAUUGACGGGGGCCCGCACAAGCGGUGGAGCAUGUGGUUUAAUUCGAAGCAACGCGAAGAACCUUACCAGGUCUUGACAUCCUUUGACCACUCUAGAGAUAGAGCUUCCCCUUCGGGGGCAAGUGACAGGUGGUGCAUGGUUGUCGUCAGCUCGUGUCGUGAGAUGUUGGGUUAAGUCCCGCACGAGCGCACCCUUAUUGUUAUUGCCAUCAUU